GGAUCUUGUGGCGAGCAUGUUAGCGUGCCCGCUCAUAAGAGACCCAGUGGACACAGGUGAGAACUGGAUGACUCUAGCACAGCAAACCAUGGAUGACGACGGAUGUGAAGCUCCUGCUGAGGGAGCGAAACGCAGCCUUCAGGUCCGGCAAUAAUGAACAACAUAGUGUUGCCAGAUCAAACCCGAAGCGAGCCAUCAGGCAGGCUAAAGCAGCCAAUGGGCAGAGGAUUGAAGGUCACUUCAGUGAGGGUUUGACAACUAUAAAGGCAGCAAAGAACAACCAGCAGCAGCAGCAGCAGCGACUCGCUAGCUGAAGAACUUAAUAAUUUAUUUGCCUGCUUUGAGGUGUAUGAGGCAGAGGCUGAGACCGCACUGCUAGCAUCCACUAACUGCCUGGCAUUUACGGUUAGCACAGAUGAGGUCAGAAGAGUGUGCCGCAACGCCAACCCCAGGAAAGCUGCCAGACCAGACGGUAUUCCAGGAAGGGCGCUCAGAGACUGUGCGGAUCAGCUGGCAGAGGUGUUUAGUAACAUCUUCAACUCUCCCUGUCUACAUGCACUGUCCCCACCUGUUUUAAAUCUGCCACCAUUGUGCCUGUCCCCAGAAAAACAGCUAUCAGCAACCUUAACAAGUACAGACCUGUGGCUUUCACCUCUGUAGUGUUUUGAGAGGCCUAAGACACAUCAGAUCCUCUCUUCCACCCACUCUGGACCAGCAUCCAUUUGCUUACAGAGCCAGCAGGUCCACAGAAGAUGCCAUCAACACAGCUCUCCAUACUGCACGGACCCACCUAGAACACCCAGGGACAUAUGUGAGGAUGUUGCUUGUAGAUUUUAGCUCUGCGUUCAACAAAAUCAUCCCCAGCGGAAUGAUGACCAAACUGCUUGACCUGGGUGUAAAUGGUAAAUGGCAGGCAUGUAUAUAGCGCCUUUUGAUGCUUCUCCAUUCAUACACACACACUCACACACCGAAGGCGAUUGAACCAGCAACCCCCCGACUGCCAGAUGACUGCUCUUACUGCCUGAGCCAUGUUGCUAUGUACAAACAUGAAAUGGAGAGAAAGCAGGAAGUAAGUAAUGUAAGAUUGGAAGGAAGACUGAACCCCGGAACUACCGUAAACACCCGAAUAGUGGGGCACGCAGACAAGGGAGUGACUGGACUAGAAAACAUUCAGACUCAGACAUCACAGGGGAAGACGAGUGCAAAGACAAACAAAUAUAAACAGAACCAGACAUGAAAUAUGAAAAAUAAUAAAUUACAAGAAUAAAUAAUGCUAAACAAUGAUACACUAACACACAGAACACAGUAACAUAACAGUUGGAUGCUUGACCUGUAACAGAAGAAAACUAGGGGGAGGGGGGACUUCACAGCUGUAGCCCUCUGCAUGCCCUCUGUGUGCCCUCUGCAUGCCUCCAGCUGUACCACCAGCUGUACUUCAGUUAAAACAUAGCUAUAACUGUAAAACGUACUAAGACAGGGUGACACAAUGGAAAUAAUCUAGCAAUGUAACAAGCUAACAGUCCAAUAGCCUAGACCUACUCCCAGCAGGUGUAAUCACAGUAACUAACUAACGUUAAAACAUAUUUUCUUAUUUCAUAUUUUUAGGGAACAUAAUGGCAUUUUGCAACUUGGUAAUCAAGUAGAGGUUUACUUUAUGGAUAUGAUAUUUCAGUAGCCAUCUAGCUGGCUAGCUGUUGGCCUGGAGUGUCUGGAGCACGAGGCCAAGAACAGGGCCAAGCAGGGGCUGAACAAAUGGGCUGUCCUGAGUUUUAUCCUGUUAUGGCAUUCAGUGUUUUCCCAGUGUUACAGUAUUGGUUUCCUGGAACUAGAUGUCACUGUGGGGGCGCAGUUGUAGCAUUUCAGGUGUACAAUUUCCUUUCAGAAACUGCACGUUUUCUGCCAGGUCAUUAUGCAGGUAUGAGCCAACAAGUGCACUGUAUAUUUGGCCUCAAGUGAACAAUCAGGGUGUGUAGACUGGUCAUUACAGAGAUAUGAGCCAACACAUGGGGGGGAAAUCCUGCAUCUAUCACCAUUCUGAAUAGGGAUGCAUCGUACAUCAA